AUUCAUCUUCGGGGCAGGGUGUAAUUCCCGACCGGCGGUAAUUGAAAUCGCAAUCUCCGACCAUUCACUUGGAGGUCAUUGCUUUCGUAUUUCAUAAGCCCGCGAGCCCGCUUUUGCGGUGCAGGAUUUGGUGAGAUUCCAAAGCCGACAGUAUAGUCUGGAUGGGAGAAGGUGAAG
rfam:Bacillus sp. KCTC 13219 scaffold8.1, whole genome shotgun sequence.